AAACAAGAUAAGUUCUGUACAACCAGGAGUGCAGAUCCCAGUGACAAGGCUGGACACUGCUCAAAAGGCGUGACAUCUAAUAAGUUUAUCGACAGAUGAGACUUCUUUGGUACCUACCUACAGGCUCCAGGCUAGUGAAAUCUAGCUGGGACGGUAAUAGUUGGAACCCUCUGAGGAGUUAAUAAAAGAUACAAUAUAUUAUGAGUCAUGACUCCUGACAUACCAGAACAACAUAUUUCCUCAUUCCAGCCACACUAAGAAUUGAUGCAAAAGUGAAGAUAGAAAGAAGGACUUGUACAAAUCACAA